rnacentral:rRNA from 1 species
GACGAACGCUGGCGGCGUGCUUAACACAUGCAAGUCGAACGGAAAGGCCCUGCUUUUGUGGGGUGCUCGAGUGGCGAACGGGUGAGUAACACGUGAGUAACCUGCCCUUGACUUUGGGAUAACUUCAGGAAACUGGGGCUAAUACCGGAUAGGAGCUCCUGCUGCAUGGUGGGGGUUGGAAAGUUUCGGCGGUUGGGGAUGGACUCGCGGCUUAUCAGCUUGUUGGUGGGGUAGUGGCUUACCAAGGCUUUGACGGGUAGCCGGCCUGAGAGGGUGACCGGCCACAUUGGGACUGAGAUACGGCCCAGACUCCUACGGGAGGCAGCAGUGGGGAAUAUUGCACAAUGGGCGGAAGCCUGAUGCAGUAACGCAGCGUGCGGGAUGACGGCCUUCGGGUUGUAAACCGCUUUCGCCUGUGACGAAGCGUGAGUGACGGUAAUGGGUAAAGAAGCACCGGCUAACUACGUG